rnacentral:rRNA from 1 species
AGCGAACGCUGGCGGCAGGCCUAACACAUGCAAGUCGAACGAAGCCUUCGGGCUUAGUGGCGGACGGGUGAGUAACACGUGGGAACGUACCUUUUGGUUCGGAACAACUCAGGGAAACUUGAGCUAAUACCGGAUGAGCCCUUAGGGGGAAAGAUUUAUCGCCGAAAGAGCGGCCCGCGUUAGAUUAGCUAGUUGGUGAGGUAAAGGCUCACCAAGGCAACGAUCUAUAGCUGGUCUGAGAGGAUGAUCAGCCACACUGGGACGGAGACACGGCCCAUACUCCGACGGGAGGCAGCAGUGGGGAAUCUUGCGCAAUGGGCGAAAGCCUGACGCAGCCAUGCCGCGUGAAUGAUGAAGGUCUUAGGAUUGUAAAAUUCUUUUACCAGGGACGAUAAUGACGGUACCUGGAGAAAAAGCCCCGGCUAACUUCGUGCCAGCAGCCGCCGUAACAC